rnacentral:misc_RNA from 1 species
CUGGCUACUGCAGAUCAGGAGCCACGAGGCAUUACACAAGUAACUGCUUCUGCCUCUCUUCCUUACAGGCCACACACGCACAUGCUCUUUCACCUCUCUAUUUCUCUUUGUUCCUCUCCUCAUUGCUUUCAUUGCUUUGGCCUUAGGAUUUAGAUUCCUCUCUGUCUCUUUCUCUUCAAUUCUCUCUUCUUUUGAGAAUUCAGUUUCCUCCAUUGCAGCUCUUUACCCAAUCAAAACCUGUCUCUGCUUCAACUCCUUCCUUUCUUGCCCUUUAUAAAGGCCUCAGUCUCAAUUUUACUUCAUUCAAUCUUCAAACGCUAUCGGAGAGCAGAGAAGCUUCUCUCUCUUCCCAUCCAUCAAUGGUGUUUCGUUCCGUCUCCCAGACCCAAACUUCACCUCAUACUGACGCUACUGAAUUCACAGCCAUGGCUUCUUCAACUCUUAAAUCUCACCAGCCUCUCCAUAACUUCCCUUUACAGGAUCUCAAAUGGUCCAUGAACCACACCAAUAACUAUCGCUUUCGCAAGCUUGCCGCUGAUUCCUUACACGAAUAUCCACACCGUGACACCGCCGACCAUGAUGGAAAUCCGGUCUCUGACGGCGCGAAAACUGGGAACUCGGUGGCGUCUCCUGAGCGGAGGACCGAGAAAUCUGAGAAGAAAUUGGGGGUUUCGGAUACUGCGGUUGACAAUUCCGACAAGAUAUCCAAGAUCUUUAUUCGCAUCAGGACUAAGAGCAGCAAGUCCGCCGACGAUUCUGCCGAUGUAGGGGAUCAGACCUUAGUUGUGGACGAUGCAGAGGAGACGAUAACGAAAACAUGGAAUCUGAGGCCAAGAAGAGCGGUGACUAAGGCUCCCAAUGGGAAUGGAGGUGUACCGAAGAUUGGUGGAGCUGUCGAGCCGGAAACCAAAGCUCAGGAACCGAGUCGCCCUGAAUUGACUCGGUUACGGAAUGCUAACGAUGCUAAGAUGGCUGAGAAGAAAGAGAGAGAGAAGGACAAGAAGCUAAAGUUCUCGAUCCCGCUUACCAAAGAGGAAAUCGAAGAGGAUGUCUUUGCGUUGACAGGGUCAAAGCCUGCGAGGAGGCCCAAGAAGAGACCUAAGCAUGUUCAGAAACAACUUGAUUGCUUGUUUCCUGGAUUGUGGUUGGCUUCGAUCACGCCUGAUAUAUACAAAGUUUCUGAUACUCCUCCGAAGGGUUAGAUGAUCCAUUCAUAUAAACUCGGAACUUGAAGGUGAAUUGCUGCCCAACUUGUUGACGUCAGCUUAAAGAGUAAAAAAAAUAUGAGCCUGUAAAGAUGAAAGGGUAACAAAUAUAUCUUGUUUUUGUGCCUUUUCUCUAUACAGCAAGGAGCUCACUGCAAGUUUGAAGGGUUAUAGUCCGUAGUUUUGAGUAGCUGACUUUGUAGUUUGUACAUAAGAACUCUCAAUCAAUGGGUAGAAAUUUUAAUAUCAUUGUUUAUGUUUUCAGUUAAUAUGAAAUCAAAUGUUUUUUAGGCUGUUUAUUUUGCAUGAUAAUUCAUGAGAUAUUUUUUCUCGUUAGCUGACAUGUUGAAAUAUCUUCUGUGUCGCAAAUAAUUGGUGUGUAGUGUAGCGAUUGACUUCUACAUUUGAUAUCUGUAUUGUUUUUCUUUCCUAAUGUGCACUUAGUAAGAGAUGAAAAAGGAAAAGUUUAUAUUACUAGUUCUUAAUCAAUUUAAGGAAAGUGUGAUUAUUUGAUAAUUAAAUGUGAUAUUGUCGUUAUUGGCAAAACGUGAUCUUGUGUGAUAUUGCUAUUAUUAGCAAGACGUGUUCCUUUUAAAAGUUGUGUUGUUUAUUUGUUAGAAUUGUAAGCGGAGUAGUUUUUGGCACAGCGAUCUAAGGCAUUGCAUUGUGGGGCCACAUUAUAUAUAGUCGUACUAAAGUUUUUUUAUCUUGUCAUGGAAGUACGACUAUUAAGAUUUUGCAUCCACAUUUAUAUGAUUUUUCAGAAUUUGCAAAUUGAUGCACACUCAGAAUUGAUUGCCUUCAUUUGUCAAACGAUUAUUUAGGAGUGAAUGAGGAUCAUUCUGGCAAGUGUCUGAUGUAGUUUGUGAGCUACUAUCUUAACCAUUUUAUACUACUUUUCAGCAUAUUUGAUUGAUGCAAUUUGUAGCCAAAAAAUUUUAAGAAACCCUCCCCAACCCCACCCUUCCCUCCUUUUCAUGGUAGAUCAAGAGAUUUGCUUGCUGGUUAAUGAAAACUUAUGAGCACAGUUGUUUGAUCAGGCUGAAAUAUCGGAACAAUUUACCUGUGUAGUGUGUUGGAACCUUAUUUAGUUCUGGACAUGGUUAUCUUAUGUACUCAUUAUCUCUGUUGUUUUCUUCUUGCAAUAGCGGAAAUCACCAGCCCUUUAUCAAUUUGGUGAAAAACUAGUUCUUUGAAAAGUUGUUGGUUGUAGCUUGAUGCUGCUUAUCUUUCCUUAUUUGAAAGUUGUGCAAGUUAUUUGUGCAGCAUUGUUGUUAGUGAGGAGUACAAUCAAGCGACGCAACGAGAUUAAUUGAUUAGAACAAAAGCAGUUUUAUUGCAGAUUCAUUACAAUCAUUGCAAUUGUAAUCUGGAUCACAGGGAUGCACAGAAGUCAUAUGAGAUCAGCAAUUGAUCAUAGAAGUGGUCUAGCAUCUGAGCAACAAUCAUUUAAAUGAGACUUUAGUUGAUACGUGUAUUAUUGGUAAAUUUUAAGAAUUAGCCUUAAACUAGACAAUUUAAUGAUGAGGAAAAUGAGAUAGUGGAUGUAAGCAUGCAAGGCAAAGACUUUUUUUUGCAUACUCCAAACAACUUUAGAUCACGUUAUGGCUUUAUAAGUGAAUUUUUCUGACAUAGAUGUUAGUUUUAUUCUUCUGUAUAUUAUCUCGACUUCCCAGCUUGCUUUGUAAGAUGAACAUUGUGUAUUAGAUAUAAUAUGGUAAUAUCAUCUGCAAAUUUUUGCAUAUCUCCAAUCGUAUGUGUCUAGAUCAAUACUGAAAGUCAAUCAUGAAGGUCUUGGAAUUAUCAUCUCUAAUCCUGAGACGGAUAGGUUCACAAAUGGAGUGGGCUCAUUGUGAAAAUCUGUAUAAAUGUUUUAGUUUGAUUUUUCUUGAUUACAAUCUCAACUUAUUGAUUGAUCUCAUUUGAAAUGAUAAAAUUUGAUGUCUUCUGUGUUGGGAGCUGGGUUGAGCAAUGCUUUUGAUGUUCUCUUCCCAUUUUAUUUCUCAUAACAUGCAUGGUAUGGGGAGUUCUGAUCCAUCAUGUCUGUGGAGAAGCUUUUCAUUUGCAAAACUGAAAAGAACAAAUGAACACUGAAUGUGUAUCUUAGGGCCUAAAGUCUGUUCGCACCUCAUAAUCUAGAUAGUCAUGUUAUGCUUCUGGAAUUUAAGCUUUGUGCCUGGAGGAGCGAAGACUUCUAUGAGUUGAAAUAACACUUGAUGUGCAUUUGCAAAUGUUACAGUUAGAACUAGUUGCUUUCAUAUUGUUACUGUCUUGUUAAUUUUUUACAAACUUGGAAUUCCAUUGCUUUGAUGUGGUUUGUGAUUUUCCUUUUCGAGCAUUCAAAGCAGUUGAAAGAAUUGGUAUUUAAGAAUUCUUUCUAUUGUGGUUCACUAGGUUGUCUAAUAGUUAGGUUCCAGAUUUUGUUGUUGGGGAGUUAAGUGUAUUGGUGGUUUUGCAGGCAUCAAUUCUUUUGCGUGAAAAGUUAUUCAUUUUCCAUUGAUCCUGUUAUUUUUGCAGACAAAGAAAGGUUUGAACUUUAUUAUUAUUGUUAUUAUGUUAAAUUACAGAAAUAAAGUAGCAGCUGUGAUGGUAGAUAGUUGGAGCUAUUCAGCCCACGAGUGGAAUAUAAAAGUGAACACACACAUUAUUUGCUGAACAGUUCACCUUUUCCAUUCCAAAGCCUGCUGAAAUGUUUUUAAGGGAUGCAAUCUAGGUGUAAACUAAGAAUUGCUCUGCUUGAGCUGCUUUGGACCUUCUGUAACAAGCUGCGGAGGAGAAUUGAGGUGCUCAAACUUUCUGCAUAUGUUGGUUAUUAUUAUUACAAUAAUCAUCAUCAUUGCAGAUGAGUGUUUUUGUUUUUCUGAGAUGAAUCAUAUAUGGGCCUUAGAAUGAAUAUUAUCAAUUAUUUGGCAUUGCAUUUAACAGCAAAUUGCUUUGACAUUUUCAGUGGUUGGGAGCUUCACAAUAAGAUAUCUGAAGUUCUGGGUGGAUGCAGUAUUAGGGAAUCAAAUGUUGCUUACAGAAAGGUUGAAUUAAAAAUGAUGCUUUCAAGCAUUCUUUGAAACAUUGAAAGUCCUUGCAUCUGAUUGAAAUUUUAUCUUACUGUCUAUAGUGAAAUUUCCCUUCGCAUUCUUCACCAAAACCUUGGCUGGUAGUUCCUUUAUUCUCCCAGCGAUGUUGGUCUCUGCGUUUUUUUAGCCCUCAAAUCAAAAUAAUGUGCUGAUUUCUAUCAUAAAAAAAUUAUCAGAGCGUGAAAAACACGCAACAAUGAUAGCACAUUAAAAAAAAUAAUAAUACAAAAGGUGAGUCUGGAGCGGGAUUUUUUUAUUUAAUAUUUAACCAAGUUUGUUAAUGUGAUUCUAUUGGACUGUGUUUUCAU